rnacentral:lncRNA from 1 species
UCACUUAGAGUUUUAGUUUAGUUUUAUUGAGACUUUCCCUGAGACCUUGGAGCAUAUGGUGGGAUGGGAGUACAAAUAAACAAACAAACCCAGCGUGAAUCUAAGCAGGCAGCCCUGUUGCUUAGCAGAAACAAACUCUGAGGCCACAGACCAGAAGUCCGCUUGUUCUGAAGCAGCGCCUGCUGCCCAAUCUUCCGCUCCUGCCCCAGUUUCAGUUUUAGUAAGCCUGUACAAACCAGCCUGGCAAGGUGCCCAACCCGCAGAUGCCUGAUGCCCGUUUGUUUGCGUGCAGGGCAUGGAAAGGAAGCCAAAGCCAGAGGUGGACUACGCCAGCAGAGAGCAAGGGAGCUGCGCUGGGAGCGACAAGAGCUUGGACAGAGUGAACGAUGGAGCAGGGGACAGACCAGGCAGAGGUUCCUUUCCGCACCCAAUUCUAAUGGCGGGAAUUGUCUUUUCCAGGGAGAGGGCGAUAAAGAUGGAAGGCUUGCUGAAGAAGGUGCUAGCAGAGAACCAGCAGCUGAAAAGUGCUGUCCUCUUCCUGAAGCAGCAGAGCAAAGGUCCAAAGAGAAACUUCUGUCAGAAAUCGGCUCCCUCUUGACAGAAAUUGCCUUUCUGAAGGAGGUACGAGAGCAGCUGAGGUACAAGGACCCAGAAUCCAGGAAGGAAACCACCAAGGCCCUUACGGAAACCAUCCAAGCCAAGCUGGAGGUGGCUCACGCGAAGAUCGAGGCGGCGGAGGCCAAGAAGGAGACCUUGGAGGCCCAGAGGAGGGCCGAGGAGGCCAAGGAGUCGGCGGAAGCCGCUCAAGCCCGGGAGGACAGCCUCUUGUCCUACGUCUCCAAAAUCGCCACCCUGGCCUACCAGCAGGCUGCCGAGGCCGAGUAUGACUGCGCCCAGGCCCGGAAGGCGAUGGCCGCGGCAGAGGCCAUCAACGUGGCUGCCUUCAGCGAUGCCCGAGGGCACCGCGGCCACAAGCUCCAGCACGAGAAGCACCACCGGAGCUCCCGGAGCAGCCACAGCGACUGCCGGUGUCACCACCACCACGGCCACCACCACGGCCACCACCACGAGCACCGCAGCCACUACGAGACCCAGAGCAACCAGGCCCACUCCGACCUGGAGACCCUGAGCAGCACCCGAUGAGGGCGGGAGGG